CCUACGGGAGGCAGCAGUGGGGAAUAUUGGGCAAUGGAGGAAACUCUGACCCAGCAACGCCGCGUGAAUGAUGAAGGUCUUCUGAUUGUAAAGUUCUUUUCUAAGGGAAGAAGAACGUGACGGUACCUUAGUAAUACGCCUCGGCUAACUACGUGCCAGCAGCCGCGGUAAGACGUAGGAGGCAAGCGUUAUCCGGAAUGACUGGGCGUAAAGGGUGCGUAGGUGGUUUGACAAGGUGGUAGCGUAACUCCGGGGCUCAACCUUGGCCCUACUACCAAAACUGUCGGACUGGAGUGCAGGAGGGGCAAAUGGAAUUCCUAGUGUAGCGGUGGAAUGCGUAGAUAUUAGGAGGAACACCAGUGGCGAAGGCGAUUUGCUGGACUGUAACUGACACUGAGGCACGAAAGCGUGGGGAGCAAACAGGAUUAGAUACCCCAGUAGUC
rnacentral:rRNA from 1 species